rnacentral:rRNA from 1 species
GGGUGCACCAGGCGCGAAAACUUUACAAUGCCGGCAACGGCGAUAAGGGAACCUCGAGUGCCAGGUUACAAAUCUGGCUGUCGUGAUGCCUAAAAAGCAUUGCAUAGCAAGGGCCGGGCAAGACCGGUGCCAGCCGCCGCGGUAACACCGGCGGCUCGAGUGGUAACCGUUAUUAUUGGGUCUAAAGGGUCUGUAGCCGGCCGGGUAAGUCUCUUGGGAAAUCUGGCAGCUUAACUGUCAGGCUUUCAGGAGAUACUGCCUGGCUCGAGGCCGGGAGAGGUGAGAGGUACUUCAGGGGUAGGGGUGAAAUCUUGUAAUCCUUGAAGGACCACCAGUGGCGAAGGCGUCUCACCAGAACGGACCUGACGGCAAGGGACGAAAGCUAGGGGCACGAACCGGAUUAGAUACCCGGGUAGUCCUAGCCGUAAACGAUACUCGCUAGGUGUCGGCCACGGUGCGACCGUGGUCGGUGCCGUAGGGAAGCCGUGAAGCGAGCCACCUGGGAAGUACGGCCGCAAGGCUGAAACUUAAAGGAAUUGGCGGGGGAGCACAAGGGCGAAUCGCG